rnacentral:rRNA from 1 species
UACGGAGGGUGCGAACGUUAAUCGGAAUCACUGGGCGUAAAGCGCGCGUAGGCGGUCUGUUAAGUGGGAUGUGAAAUCCCCGGGCUUAACCUGGGAAUUGCAUUUCAAACUGGCCGACUAGCGUACGGUAGAGGGAGGUAGAAUUUCCUGUGUAGCGGUGAAAUGCGUAGAUAUAGGAAGGAAUACCAGUGGCGAAGGCGGCCUCCUGGAUCGAUACUGACGCUGAGGCGCGAAAGCGUGGGGAGCAAACAGG